ensembl:lncRNA
AUGGCGCUGUGCGGCCGCUCGCUUCUCCUCCGGCCGUCCCCGCGUCCCGCAGCGCGCCGCCCCAGGGCCGCCGAGGCGUUCGUCAGACAACGUCUGUGUGAAGAGAGAAAUUGGGCACUAAGAGAAAUGGAGGUCGUCUGUUUGCCUGAGAUAGGUGAAUAUGGCUGCUGGGUGAUGGCUGUGUUCUUUCCCAGCCUCUCAGAAAGCAAAUUGAUCACAGGAGGGAAACAAAAAAGGAGGAUCGACUGUUUUCAAACACAUAUAUAUGUAUUUAAUAAAUUCAUUGCUUGCUUGUUUAGAAAGAGCUUAGAAUUUGGAGUGCGUCUCACAAUUCAUAAUCAGGAGCAAAACACCCAACAGGCAGGAAAAAAAACCCAGCAGAAACUGGAAGAGAAAAUGGUUUCCACUCAAGCCCCUUUCUUUUCUGAGCCAUUUCUGUAAUUUGAGAUCCUGUUUCAGAGUUGUCAUGAGAACGUUCAGUGAACAUCUGCAAGCUUUCGAGCUCCGCUGGGAGAUCCGGACAGCAUCUGCAAUUUGGUGUGUUUGUAGGAGGCAUGUCAUCUGUUCUCUUUUUUCUUUUUUCUUCCCUCUCCAGCACUGGUUCUUGUGCUGCCUUUUUGCAGCCCUGAUGGAGGCAGGGAGGUCGGUGUUUGCAAUAAAUUUCCCCAGCGGUCAGCAGAUACCAGGCAGUUAAUAAAAAUAACUUAAAACAAAACAAUCCGUUACCCUCCCUUCCUCCUCCCCCCCUCCGAGUCCCAAACAGGAAUGGAAAAAUUCUUAAGACUAUAUAAAGAAUAGGGAAACGGACGGAGAUGAUUCUUGGAGUUCUUCCACAUGGUGGUUCGGAGUUGUGGUGUGCUGUAUGGUGUGUUGGGAGCUGGUUGACCACAGGGACCCUCAGCAUUGCAACAAGAAAAGAAAGAAUGAGAGUUCUGACAAAAAAAAAAAAGAGGAAAAAUCGCCCCUUAACUAAAAGAUGAGUAAUGCCCAAAGAAGGAUAUGCCUUUUUUAGAAGAUGAUGUCAUGCUUCGUGUGUCUGUGUUUUGCAAUGAAUAAGUGUUUUAAUUGAGAAUACAUGCGUUUCUGAACAAAGCCUCCAUUAGGUACCACCGUCUAAAAUCCAUGUGAGCUUGUUAAUUUUGCAUUACCUUUGUGUGAGAUAGAGUGGGCAGAUCCCCGUUGUUAGUUACCCACUUUUGCAACAGAUGCACGGCAAGAACUGAUCUGUGCUAUGUGUGGGGAAGUGCAAAAUGAGUACUUGGGCUCAUUUUACAUUGUCUCUGCCUAUAUACCUAAUAUUAAACUGUUCUGGUUUUAAUCACCAAGUGGUGAAGUGUGUGGGUUUUUUUUCCUAGAGCUUCAGAAGAGCAGACAGUGGGGUGUUUGGGAGAGUAGUGCUGCAGGAGUGGAAGAGCUGUUGUGGUUUCCCAACCAAUUGUAGCUGGGGACAUCUCUGUGUUGAAAGAUUAACAGUUUGUAUCCAUGUGUUCCUCGUGUAUUUACACCGAGGUUCAGGAUUUGUAAUAGCUUGUCUCACCUAAUUAUUUUUAAUCAUAGAAUGUUUUGGGUUGGAAGGGACCCCACAGAUCAUCACGUUCCAACCCCUCUGCUAUAGGUAGGGCCGCCAACCUCCAGAGAGGUUUUUUUUUAAAGGAGCUCUAUAUUUUAGCUAUGUAGAGAAGGACCUCAAGUUCAAGGAAAAGAGAAGGCUCUGGGGAGAUCUCAUU